UACGUAGGGUGCAAGCGUUGUCCGGAAUUAUUGGGCGUAAAGAGCUUGUAGGCGGUUUGUCGCGUCUGCCGUGAAAUUUCGAGGCUCAACCUCGGGCCUGCAGUGGGUACGGGCAGACUAGAGUGCGGUAGGGGAGAUUGGAAUUCCUGGUGUAGCGGUGGAAUGCGCAGAUAUCAGGAGGAACACCGAUGGCGAAGGCGGCUACCUGGACAGAAACUGACGCUGAGGCACGAAAGCUAGGGGAGCAAACAGG
rnacentral:rRNA from 1 species